AGAGUUUGAUCCUGGCUCAGGAUGAACGCUAGCGACAGGCUUAACACAUGCAAGUCGAGGGGCAGCGGGGAGUAGCAAUACUUCGCCGGCGACCGGCGCACGGGUGAGUAACACGUGUGCAACCAACCCCGUACCGGGAGAUAACCCGCGGAAACGUGGACUAACAUCCCAUGAUACUCGAGGGCCGCAUGGCUCUCGAUUUAAAAUUCCGGUGGUACGGGACGGGCACGCGCGACAUUAGGUAGUUGGCGGGGUAACGGCCCACCAAGCCGACGAUGUCUAGGGGUUCUGAGAGGAAGGUCCCCCACACUGGAACUGAGACACGGUCCAGACUCCUACGGGAGGCAGCAGUGAGGAAUAUUGGUCAAUGGGCGAGAGCCUGAACCAGCCAAGUCGCGUGAGGGAAGAAUGGUCUAUGGCCUGUAAACCUCUUUUGUCAGGGAAGAAUAAGGAUGACGAGUCAUUCGAUGCCAGUACUUGACGAAUAAGCAUCGGCUAACUCCGUGCCAGCAGCCGCGGUAAUACGGGGGAUGCGAGCGUUAUCCGGAUUUAUUGGGUUUAAAGGGCGCGUAGGCGGGACGUCAAGUCAGCGGUAAAAGACUGCAGCUAAACUGUAGCACGCCGUUGAAACUGGCGCCCUGGAGACGAGACGAGGGAGGCGGAACAAGUGAAGUAGCGGUGAAAUGCUUAGAUAUCACUUGGAACCCCGAUAGCGAAGGCAGCUUCCCAGGCUCGAUCUGACGCUGAUGCGCGAGAGCGUGGGUAGCGAACAGGAUUAGAUACCCUGGUAGUCCACGCCGUAAACGAUGCUCACUGGAUCUUGGCGAUACACUGCCAGGGUUCAAGCGAAAGUAUUAAGUGAGCCACCUGGGGAGUACGUCGGCAACGAUGAAACUCAAAGGAAUUGACGGGGGCCCGCACAAGCGGAGGAACAUGUGGUUUAAUUCGAUGAUACGCGAGGAACC
rnacentral:rRNA from 1 species